GGUAUAGCCGUUGCAGGGGGCGGGUGAGUACGGGGGGGGGAGGGGUUUACCGGGUUGAUUGGGUGUGAAGGGGUCGGAGGGGGGCAGGUAAGUCAGUGGUGAAAUCUCCGGGCGUAACCCGGAAACGUCCGUUGAUACUAUCUGUCUUGAAUAUCGUGGAGGUAAGCGGAAUAUGUCAUGUAGCGGUGAAAUGCUUAGAUAUGACAUAGAACACCCAUUGCGAAGGCAGCUUACUACACGAUCAUUGACGCUGAGGCACGAAAGCGUGGGGAGCAAACAGGAUUAGAUACCCGGGUAGUC
rnacentral:rRNA from 1 species